CUACGGGUGGCUGCAGUGAGGAAUAUUGCACAAUGGGGGGAACCCUGAUGCAGCAACGCCGCGUGGAGGAUGACGCAUUUCGGUGUGUAAACUCCUUUUAUAUGUCAAGAAAAUGACGGUAGCAUAUGAAUAAGCACCGGCUAACUCCGUGCCAGCAGCCGCGGUAAUACGGAGGGUGCAAGCGUUACUCGGAAUCACUGGGCGUAAAGGACGCGUAGGCGGGUUGGAAAGUCAGGUGUGAAAUCCUACAGCUUAACUGUAGAACUGCACUUGAAACUGGUAACCUAGAGUAUGGGAGGGGGAGAUGGAAUUAGUGGUGUAGGGGUAAGAUCCGUAGAUAUCACUAGGAAUACCUAAAGCGAAGGCGAUCUCCUGGAACAUAACUGACGCUAAGGCGUGAAAGCGUGGGGAGCAAACAGGAUUAGAUACCCCUGUAGUC
rnacentral:rRNA from 1 species